CGUGUUCCCUGACUCUCAUCGGCAGCAGGGCUCCUGGAAGUCCUGCUUCUCAUUACUACUGUGGACUGGAGCCUCCCCAGAGCUCCCUGGGGUCCUUGGCCUGGGUGAAGAUGGAUGAAGAUCAGAUCCAGCAGCUGUGGGUAGAGGAGGGUCCAGGAAGCAGGCACAAAGAGAGGUAAUUCAUCCACAUGGCAAAACAGAGCAUGAUCUGGGGAAGCUGGAGGCCUCCCAAACAGGGCCUCAACUGUCAGAACAUGUAAUAAACAUAACCAGCCAGAGGACUGAGGGGAGGCAGAAGGCACACAGUUAACCACUGCAGCAGAAAGUAGCAGAAAUGAAGGGAGAAGGCAAUGUUCUAGAUAGAAACUGCUUUAUUGGCCUGGGUUUCUUGGAGCGAAGAAACAUUGAGGAGCAGAUCCCCCAGCUGAUUCAGCAGACGUGCAGCAGAAGCCGACGGAAACCUCUGCUGUUUUAAGUUCCUCACUCAAUAGGAACUGCUCUCCCCAAAGAUGAAAAGAAGGGAUGU
rnacentral:lncRNA from 1 species